UACAGAGGGGGCAAGCGUUGUUCGGAAUUACUGGGCGUAAAGGGCGCGUAGGCGGCCGCCUAAGACAGACGUGAAAUCCCUCGGCUCAACCGGGGAACUGCGUCUGAUACUGGGUGGCUUGAAUCCGGGAGAGGGAUGCGGAAUUCCAGGUGUAGCGGUGAAAUGCGUAGAUAUCUGGAGGAACACCGGUGGCGAAGGCGGCAUCCUGGACCGGCAUUGACGCUGAGGCGCGAAAGCCAGGGGAGCAAACGGG
rnacentral:rRNA from 1 species